rnacentral:rRNA from 1 species
UAGGGAAUCUUCCGCAAUGUGCGAAAGCCUGACGGAGCAACGCCGCGUGAGUGAUGAAGGUCUUCGGAUCGUAAAACUCUGUUAUUAGGGAAGAACAAAUGUGUAAGUAACUAUGCACGUCUUGACGGUACCUAAUCAGAAAGCCACGGCUAACUACGUGCCAGCAGCCGCGGUAAUACGUAGGUGGCAAGCGUUAUCCGGAAUUAUUGGGCGUAAAGCGCGCGUAGGCGGUUUUUUAAGUCUGAUGUGAAAGCCCACGGCUCAACCGUGGAGGGUCAUUGGAAACUGGAAAACUUGAGUGCAGAAGAGGAAAGUGGAAUUCCAUGUGUAGCGGUGAAAUGCGCAGAGAUAUGGGGGAACACCAGUGGCGAAGGCGACUUUCUGGUCUGUAACUGACGCUGAUGUGCGAAAGCGUGGGGAUCAAACAGG